UUGCCCACAGUACUAAACCUGAAAACUCUUUUCACUUCUCUAAGCUCUCACUUCUUAACCCUAACUAUUCAUCUCUCCUUUGUCUUACGAAAUUCUACAAAGUGAUUCAGAAAAUCAUGGAUUUCAAUGUCAGAUCUUCAAUUCGUUCCCUUUGCACUACUCAUCAAUAAUUUUUCUUGCCUAAUUUUCUCUUCCGGCCGGCCUUCAAUGGUGUUUGAUUUCGUGCUCUCUUUGCCGAAAAAAUUGAGGUGAUGAUACUAAGGGGCUGCACGUUAGGUGUCGUUAUAGAAUUGAAGGUGCAGUUCGUCAAGGGAAUAGAUCUCCAAUUCUUCUAAAGAAACACUUGAAUUCUUAGAAAUGGCAAACCACCAGGGCAUGUUGAUUUGAUAUUUUCACAGGCUGUAACAAUUGCAGAUCCAUGCAGAUCAAUUGCUGAGUUGGUGGUACACUAGUAUUUGGCAAUUCUGGUAUUUGAUUGCAGAUCAACUAGAUACAAAAACCCAUAUAAUAAUUCUCGUAUUUACAAUUCAUGUUGUUCUUCCUAACACGACCGCUAUUCCUUGUCUCAAAUUGUUGUCAAAAGAUAAGAAGGUGCUCUACUAGUUGAUAAUGUGGGCAUUGUAGUGGAUACUCAUGAACAGCCCGUUGGUGGUACCCUAGUAUUUGGUUGUGCUCCUCAUUCAAUUGCUGAUUUAUCUUUGUAUGUGGUGGUUGCUAGUAAUGGAAGAUGGCAUUAUAAGCUUGUGUGGUGUGAAUAAGCUUAUAUUGUGUAAUGUACUAAUUUAUACUUUGUAAUUUUUUUUUGAAUAUUGGAAAAGGCAAUGUAGGUGCAACAAGAAAAUAGGCCGAAACACUUGAGCAUCAAAACAAGCGACUACAUCGUCUAUAACGCCAUCAUCUAUCUAUUUUGGUUUUUGGUCAUAAUUAUAUUAGUGAUGUUUUUAUUUAGGGACAAGCUACUAUAAUUGUAGGCGUCGUUCGAAGUGCGCCUACGUAAAAAGCAUGUGUGAAUAUGCUUGACACUCAUAGGAAG